GACAGGAUGAGACCAGUCACACCGAUGGAGGAAAACCCACUCUUACAAAAUGCCGGGACCGCUCUCCCAUGCUGAUCACUUGGCAGAGGAACAGAGGCCUGUGUUUCCACAGAGGUUCAGCAACAUCUGCCGCGGACUGAAAAACCUGAAAGCCAUUGGUUCGCUCUGUGGUGGAGGCUCAAAUGACCUGAGAACUGGAGAGAUUAAGUGCAGAUCAGCGGGGGAGGCAACAUUGCAGCGACAAGGACUUACUAAACAGCGCCAUGGAAAUGCAAACUGUGUGUGUUUCGACAUACAACGUAUCCCAUGAUGUAGAAAUACAGGGCCGACAAAAGAGGCCUUGUUUGGAUUUAGGG